CUUCCUAAAUAUUUAAGUACAGACAAAUUUUCAUUAGUAAAUAACCAAACAAAUUUUGGCUCAUUUGAAAGAUGUAUAAAAUUAGGACAAAUACAGUUUAUCUCCUUAAAAAAUAUCUCCCUAUCAUUUUUGUAUGCUGGACAACUAGUUAUAAAAUGUUGUUCAUCUUCAACCAGAUUUAGAGUACAUUUCUUACAAAGCCUUUGAUUUCUUUCUAUAUAUAAUGUUAUACCUGUCUCUUUCUAUUUUGAGAUCAUGUGCACUGAUUCUAAUUUUACAUAUGGCACUUCUCAAUUGAAAAUUGUUUAAAGAUAGAUACAUUUCUUUAGAAAAACAAGUUAUGAGUUUGAAAUAAGUAUCUAAUUCACUACUCUGUGCAUCUGUUCUUUUUGUGUUCCAAAAUUUUACAAAACUAUUACAAAGUUUUUGCUUAACUGACUUGAUAAAAAAAGUUGAGCUUCACCUCCAAAUUAUGAAUAUUCAGCUUUUUAAAAAUGAAAUGUAUGGAUGAAUACUAGCAUUCAAUAUUAUUAUUAAACAUGUUUUUGUU
rnacentral:lncRNA from 1 species